GGAUUGUAGGCUGAAACUCGCCUACAUGAAGCUGGAGUUACUAGUAAUCGCAGAUCAGAAUGCUGCGGUGAAUGCGUUCCCGGGUCUUGUACACACCGCCCGUCACACCACGGAAGUUGGGGCGCCCGAAGCCACUUAGCUAACCCUUUUGGGAAGCGAGUGUCGAAGGUGAAAUCAAUAACUGGGUGAAGUCGUAACAAGGUACC
rnacentral:rRNA from 1 species